UCUGCAGUGGGUACGGGCAGACUAGAGUGCAGUAGGGGAGACUGGAAUUCCUGGUGUAGCGGUGAAAUGCGCAGAUAUCAGGAGGAACACCGAUGGCGAAGGCAGGUCUCUGGGCUGUUACUGACGCUGAGGAGCGAAAGCAUGGGGAGCGAACAGGAUUAGAUACCCUGGUAGUCCAUGCCGUAAACGUUGGGCACUAGGUGUGGGGGACAUUCCACGUUUUCCGCGCCGUAGCUAACGCAUUAAGUGCCCCGCCUGGGGAGUACGGCCGCAAGGCUAAAACUCAAAGGAAUUGACGGGGGCCCGCACAAGCGGCGGAGCAUGCGGAUUAAUUCGAUGCAACGCGAAGAACCUUACCAAGGCUUGACAUUCACCGGACCGCCCCAGAGAUGGGGUUUCCCUUCGGGGCUGGUGGACAGGUGGUGCAUGGUUGUCGUCAGCUCGUGUCGUGAGAUGUUGGGUUAAGUCCCGCAACGAGCGCAACCCUCGUUCUAUGUUGCCAGCACGUGAUGGUGGGGACUCAUAGGAGACUGCCGGGGUCAACUCGGAGGAAGGUGGGGAUGACGUCAAAUCAUCAUGCCCCUUAUGUCUUGGGCUUCACGCAUGCUACAAUGGCCGGUACAAAGGGUUGCGAUACUGUGAGGUGGAGCUAAUCCCAAAAAGCCGGUCUCAGUUCGGAUUGAGGUCUGCAACUCGACCUCAUGAAGUCGGAGUCGCUAGUAAUCGCAGAUCAGCAACGCUGCGGUGAAUACGUUCCCGGGCCUUGUACACACCGCCCGUCAAGUCACGAAAGUUGGUAACACCCGAAGCCGGUGGCCUAACCCCUUGUGGGAGGGAGCC
rnacentral:rRNA from 1 species